rnacentral:piRNA from 1 species
UGACUAUGGCCUCCCAGCUUAAUGUGUUU